ACAAUUAUGAUGAUAGGUGGCGUAUGUCAGGUGUAUGAAUGCACAUGGAUCAAUCAUCCAUUAAUGUCACGUCAUGCAUAAUUAAGUGAAAAGAGGUGGAUUAAAAUGAAACUAGUAACCCAAAGGCAACUUUCACAAUUGCAUCUUCCUCCUCAAUUCACCGUUACCCAUUCUGUCGUGCCGGAGAUAAUCCUUGGUGGCGAAACUCCUGAAAAUGAAAUCAAAUACCACUACCCUACUCAAAAUCAUGUCCUGGUCACAGAUACAUAAGCAAAUUCUCCUCAUUGUGUGAGAGUUGAAUGAAUCGAAGGAAUAUUCUCAUGAACCCUAACUCGAAGAGUUUGAAAUGAAACCUCACACACUCAGAUUCAAAGCCCUAAGUGUUAGGGCUUUGAUCUUUCAAGCUUAGGCCUUCCUUCUGGUAAAGAGAUUGAAGAAAAUGACAAAGGGAACAGGAAACUCACCGACGGGAGGGAUGCAGAGGACCACGUACUCCAGGUAGGCCAGGUCGUUUGAUGAAUGGUGAAGAUGCUUCACUGCUCUGUUUUUGCUCAAUGAGGUCUGAACAAUUGGGAAUCAAUUGAACUAGGCCUGUUUUAUGGCAGUGCAGAAAGUUGUUAUGAGUUCAGUCUUGUACUAAUCUUGCUACUCCUUCUUUUUUGUCAAAUUCACGCAGGAAAUCAGCAGCAAAGAAAAGGCUCAUAUUGGAUGACAUGCCUGGUUGCAUUUACAUUGUUAUUUUGUUAACCAAAAGCAAGUUAAUCUGAGUUUCUGUUAUGCAUUAUGCAAGUUAUGAUUUUGUUAUGGAAUUACUUGGAUGCUUGGAUUGGUUGGACUAUGGCUAGGUGGAAUUGGGAAAGUGAUCUUGGGUCAGAUUGUAAUCUUGUAAUAGUCAUGAAAUGAACUAUUGUAAUAGUUAUGAAUUGUAUGUAAAAAUGGAAUUUGAAUUUGAAAUAUAUGAACAUGUAUAGUUGUAACAUGAAUUUGUGAUUUUGGAA